rnacentral:rRNA from 1 species
GAAGGGGGGACGGAGAAGGCUAUGUUGGCCGGGCGACGGUUGUCCCGGUUUAAGCGUGUAGGCUGGUUUUCCAGGCAAAUCCGGAAAAUCAAGGCUGAGGCGUGAUGACGAGGCACUACGGUGCUGAAGCAACAAAUGCCCUGCUUCCAGGAAAAGCCUCUAAGCAUCAGGUAACAUCAAAUCGUACCCCAAACCGACACAGGUGGUCAGGUAGAGAAUACCAAGGCGCUUGAGAGAACUCGGGUGAAGGAACUAGGCAAAAUGGUGCCGUAACUUCGGGAGAAGGCACGCUGAUAUGUAGGUGAAGCGACUUGCUCGUGGAGCUGAAAUCAGUCGAAGAUACCAGCUGGCUGCAACUGUUUAUUAAAAACACAGCACUGUGCAAACACGAAAGUGGACGUAUACGGUGUGACGCCUGCCCGGUGCCGGAAGGUUAAUUGAUGGGGUUAGCGCAAGCGAAGCUCUUGAUCGAAGCCCCGGUAAACGGCGGCCGUAACUAUAACGGUCCUAAGGUAGCGAAAUUCCUUGUCGGGUAAGUUCCGACCUGCACGAAUGGCGUAAUGAUGGCCAGGCUGUCUCCACCCGAGACUCAGUGAAAUUGAACUCGCUGUGAAGAUGCAGUGUACCCGCGGCAAGACGGAAAGACCCCGUGAACCUUUACUAUAGCUUGACACUGAACAUUGAGCCUUGAUGUGUAGGAUAGGUGGGAGGCUUAGAAGUGUGGACGCCAGUCUGCAUGGAGCCGACCUUGAAAUACCACCCUUUAAUGUUUGAUGUUCUAACGUUGACCCGUAAUCCGGGUUGCGGACAGUGUCUGGUGGGUAGUUUGACUGGGGCGGUCUCCUCCUAAAGAGUAACGGAGGAGCACGAAGGUUGGCUAAUCCUGGUCGGACAUCAGGAGGUUAGUGCAAUGGCAUAAGCCAGCUUGACUGCGAGCGUGACGGCGCGAGCAGGUGCGAAAGCAGGUCAUAGUGAUCCGGUGGUUCUGAAUGGAAGGGCCAUCGCUCAACGGAUAAAAGGUACUCCGGGGAUAACAGGCUGAUACCGCCCAAGAGUUCAUAUCGACGGCGGUGUUUGGCACCUCGAUGUCGGCUCAUCACAUCCUGGGGCUGAAGUAGGUCCCAAGGGUAUGGCUGUUCGCCAUUUAAAGUGGUACGCGAGCUGGGUUUAGAACGUCGUGAGACAGUUCGGUCCCUAUCUGCCGUGGGCGCUGGAGAACUGAGGGGGGCUGCUCCUAGUACGAGAGGACCGGAGUGGACGCAUCACUGGUGUUCGGGUUGUCAUGCCAAUGGCACUGCCCGGUAGCUAAAUGCGGAAGAGAUAAGUGCUGAAAGCAUCUAAGCACGAAGCUUGCCCCGAGAUGAGUUCUCCCUGACCCUUUAAGGGUCCUGAAGGAACGUUGAAGACGACGACGUUGAUAGGCCGGGUGUGUAAGCGCAGCGAUGCGUUGAGCUAACCGGUACUAAUGAACCGUGAGGCUUAACCUU